UCCCAGACUCCUACGGGAGGCAGCAGUGGGGAAUAUUGCACAAUGGGGGAAACCCUGAUGCAGCGACGCCACGUGAGUGAAGAAGUAUUUCGGUAUGUAAAGCUCUCUCAGCAGGGAAGAAAAUGACGGUACCUGACUAAGAAGCCCCGGCUAACUACGUGCCAGCAGCCGCGGUAAUACGUAGGGGGCAAGCGUUAUCCGGAUUUACUGGGUGUAAAGGGAGCGUAGACGGCAGCGCAAGUCUGAAGUGAAAUGCCAGGGCUUAACCCUGGAACUGCUUUGGAAACUGUGCAGCUAGAGUGCAGGAGAGGUAAGUGGAAUUUCUAGUGUAGCGGUGAAAUGCGUAGAUAUUAGGAGGAACACCAGUGGCGAAGGCGGCUUACUGGACUGUAACUGACGUUGAGGCUCGAAAGCGUGGGGAGCAAACAGGAUUAGAUACCCCAGUA
rnacentral:rRNA from 1 species